CAAGGUCUGAAAUCCUUAGUAUGAGAAAAAACUGGUCUACUUCUUGGACUUCUGAAAAAUCCACUCCAAAGGAGAACUCUGUUUACAGCGAAAAUGCCACGUACCGGUUCGGCCUUUUUUUCUCCCGUGCGCCCCUCGCGACCAUUCCCCGAUCUCCUCUCCUCUCUCCGCAAUUAGGGUUCCUCACCUAGCCACCAGCGCCGGCGCCCCACGAGGACCCUGCCGCGCCGUCACCCGCCCAAGUUCAUGACGCCAGGAUAACCACCGCAGCCGCCCUGCUGUUUCGCGGCGGCUCCCGCCCCCUCCUUUAUCCUCCGACGGCCACCUCUUUGGACCAGCACUCCGACCACUGACAUGUGAUGCUCUGCCUUCAAUUUGCUACAUGGACCAGCACUCCGACUGCGGCCACAAGGAGCUCGUUCUGUUCAAGAUAAGGAAGAGACGGACCAUGUGUGUUUUGGUUUGAUUGCGAUCGUCCUUAUACUGCUGUGAUUAUUUGCUACAUGUGUGAUGCUCUAGCUUCAAUUUGCAUUUACGAUCUUUUUUUUUAAUGUAAUCUAUCUUUGCAAAUAGCGUCAGAUGAAGCUACCGAGAGUUGCAACUCAAAUCUGCUUGAGUAGAUGAUUCUUUUGUCCUAUGAUUCUUCAGUUCACGUUUUGAUGUGUAUAACGUUAUAAUAUUUUGGAUGCUUUCAUGUAUCAUUUACACCACGUAUUAUUAAUUUUAAUAUUUAGCACUUCAUGAAUUUUAAUA